GUCCGUGUAGAUUAGUGGUUAGAUCACCACGUUGUGGAGCGAGAGACCUUGUCAAGAUCUCUGCCUCAGAACCGUGGUAACCCAGGCUCGACUCCUGGCACGGACA